AUAUAUAUAUAUAUUAUAUAUAUGUAUGUAUAUACAUAUAUAUAAAUGCACACACCAGUGAGUGGACAAACGCAAAGAAAAAGGCACCUUAAAUAGGGGUUACGCAUAUCAUUAUUUAAAAUAGCUUGAUUUAGCCCCAUUACUUACGUUUUUCUCCUUUUUUAAAAUUCUGGUAUUUAUUCUAUUAAUCUCUCUUUUGUUAAAGUGCUAAAUUACAGGGAAGAAGACAAACCAACACUGACAAGCUGUGAGGUGGUGGGGACAAAUGCAAAUGCAAAGAUACAACCACACACACACACACACACACACACAUGCAUACAUUUAUAAUGGACUUCUACAAAGUUUCUGUCUAUCAAAUUCACUCACAAGGCGUUGAUCAGCCCAGGUCUAUAGAAGAAAAAUACUGGCCCAGGAUGCCACACAGUGGGACUGAACCUGAAACUACAUAGUUGCAAAGCAAGUCAGUAUUUUGUUUGAAAAAUACACAAAUUUAUAAUUUGAUGCAUCAUAGUUUACUUAUCAGUUGAUUGGUAAUGUACUGAUUUACUAAUUUAUUUAACUUCAGGUUUAGUAUGAGCUUGGAUGAAGAAUACAUUGUCUAAAUGUUUGUUUUUCUGAAAAUGAGAUCCUGAUCCUGAAAAAUUAUCUUUCAUAAGAAAUCUGUGUGUGUGUGUGUGUGUGUGUGUUGUGUGUGUGUGUGUGUGUGUGUGUGUGUGUGUGUGGCAUGUGUACACAUGUGUGUCCAUGUGCACAAAAUGAAAAAUUUACAAGACUCAUAACUAAGAAAGCGAUGACAAUAGACUAUUUCUGUAACUCAAUGAUGAAAGGGAAAUUUGUGCCGAUGGACUAAAAUGUUACAAUUCAUAUACCACAAGAACACUCUCCUUAGGCUGUGUCAACUUGGCAUUAAAAGAUUAUUGUUGUUGCAAUUGUUAUAGUCACAGGGGUACUGUUUCUACAUUUACCAACAUCCCUACUGCCUUUAGGAAAGGCAUAAAUGUGACUACCUGCUAUUUCUUGUUUUUUUAUAAAUAUAAAUAUGAGGCUUCAUGUCUAAUGUAUACCUCAGACUUAUUGUUAUUGUUACUCUGCUUGUUACUCUGUUAAUCCUUUGUUAAUCAUUUCAAUAACAUUGUUAUUUUCAUUAAUAUUUUUAUCAUCAUCAUCAUUAUUGUCAACAUCAUCUUCAUCAUCAUCAUUAUCAUCAUCAUACUCAUCAUCAUCAUCAUCAUUGCAUAAUAUAAUUUAUGCGAAAAACCAUUGGGUGAUAAAAUUUAGUGUUUACUACAAUGAUGUAUGUGACAGUGAGUUAAAAGAACUCCAACCUUUGACCAAAUCAAAUGUUUUCAAAUCAUUUCUUGCUACAUUUCAACACUAAAAAUUUCAUAAAUGUUAUUGAAUUCAAAAAAUUGUAUUAUUUGUUUAUUUUCUUUUUAGUUAGCUUUUACUCAAUAUCAACUGUGACAUAAUUGUUAUGAACAGCUUCCUCUUUCUAAAUCUCGGUGGAAGUACUUUUAAUGUUUGCUUCUGAUGUCUUUGCUAUUUGCAAAUCAAAAUGAACCACAAAUGAAAUAUGCUGGUCUCAAAGCUUUCCAUUUUUUUUUUAACUAAACAUCCCCCAUACUCACAAUUUCAUUAAACAAUGCCUGCUUCUUUUCCCUUUUAUUUUUAUACUUUUUUUAAUUGAUUCAGAUAUUCUUUCACUAAAAUGUUAACCAAAUAUAUCCUAUUAUUUUCCAUUUCUAAUAUGCUUCUCAAGACAGUGAUAUGUUUGCUUGUUAUUUGUUAUUUCAAAUCAUAUCUGUUUUAAUCUGCUCUGUACAUUAUCCAUAUCUUUUAAUCAUCUAUUACAAUCAUAAUUAUGGAAAAAAAACAUCUUUCUUUAUCAAUAUUUUCAAUAUUCUAUGUUUUCUUUUCAAUUCAAAGUUGAUAAGAUGUCAAGAUGUCAGAUUUAGAUUCCAAGGUAAGUUUAUCAUGAAAAUUCCUGUUGUUACAGAGAACUUUCUAUUCCUUUUAUGGCAGUGAAAUAUAAACCUGGAGACAUCAAAUCUAUAUUUAUCAAAUAUUUUAUUUUCCACAGUAUGUUUUUCAAAAAUAAG